rnacentral:lncRNA from 1 species
AUUACAGGUUGGGCUAAGUUAUCUGUUUAAUGUGAUAGUCAUCCUCGAAUCUGGCUUUUUGACCUCUUUAAUAGAAAGGUCUGAUUUGAGUUAACAGAUUUUCGAUCAAUCUUGGGCCCGACACAAUUUGAUUGCCACCUUUUCAAGGACUAGGUGUCUAAUUAAGUGAAAUUGAAACUCUAGAUCAAGGAUUAGUCUCAACCCAGGAAUUAGAGAUUAUAGCCCGAAAACAACA